CUCCGAAAGAGCUCACCAUGUCGAGAGCUCUGUUUUUCCUGGCAUUCCUCACUUUCUGCUCAGAUGUCAGCUCAUACGCGACUCUGACGCAGCCUCCGUCCCAGUCUGCCAGACUGGGGAACCCAGUGAGACUCACCUGCACUCUCAGCAGUGAGCACCAGAGCUAUGUUGUUGCUUGGUAUCAACAGAAAGUCGGGGAGGCACCGCGGCUUCUUGUAUACCGUGAUAGCACAAGAGCCAGUGGGAUCUCCGAUCGGUUCACUGGCUCCAAAUCGGGUGGGGAGCGCUAUUUGAGCAUUAGUGGUGUCCGGGUAGAGGAUGAGGCCACCUACUACUGCGGUGAAGCUGAAGGCAGUGGGAGCAGCUACAUGUAA